rnacentral:rRNA from 1 species
GACAGAGGGUGCAAACGUUGUUCGGAAUUAUUGGGCGUAAAGGGCGCGUAGGCGAUUUGAAAAGUCUUGUGUGAAAGCCCCGAGCUUAACUCGGGAAGUGCACAAGAAACUGUUGAAUUUGAGUUCCGGAGAGGAAGGCAGAAUUCCCGGUGUAGCGGUGAAAUGCGUAGAUAUCGGGAGGAAUACCAGUGGCGAAGGCGGCCUUCUGGACGGAUACUGACGCUGAGGCGCGAAAGCCAGGGGAGCAAACGGG